UACGUAGGUGACAAGCGUUGUCCGGAUUUACUGGGCGUAAAGAGCGCGCAGGCGGUCGAUCAAGUCGAGUGUGAAAGCCCCCGGCUCAACUGGGGAGGGUCAUUCGAUACUGAUCGACUCGAAGGCAGGAGAGGGUAGUGGAAUUCCCGGUGUAGUGGUGAAAUGCGUAGAUAUCGGGAGGAACACCAGUGGCGAAGGCGGUUCUCUGGGCCUUACCUGACGCUGAGGAGCGAAAGCGUGGGGAGCGAACAGG
rnacentral:rRNA from 1 species